rnacentral:rRNA from 1 species
UACAGGGGGUGCAAACGUUGCUCGGAAUUAUUGGGCGUAAAGCGCGCGUAGGCGGCCACUUAAGUCGGAUGUGAAAGCCCCUGGCUCAACUGGGGAAGUGCACCCGAAACUGAAUGGCUUGAGUGCGAAAGAGGGUCGCGGAAUUCCCGGUGUAGAGGUGAAAUUCGUAGAUAUCGAGAGGAACACCAGUGGCGAAGGCGGGUCUCUGGACGAUUCCUGACGCUGAGGCACGAAAGCCAGGGGAGCAAACGGG